CAGAGAGUCGAAAGCGAGAGUGCGAGAGAUAAUCAGAGAUAAUUUAGCAUUUGAGAGGAGAGGAGGCGAAAGAAGAAGAUAGGAGUAUAGUGACAGUAAAGGAUUUUAGGAGCGGAAAAGGUGCGGACAGGCGGGAAGAACGGAGGAGGGGGCAGUGCCAUCUAGCGAUAGAAGGGAGAAGGAGAGUAGGACAAGGUGCGAGGAUCUCGGUAGAUAAAGAAGAGUUGAUAGGGGGUGGAAAUGAAGAAGUUGUAAGAGCUAAAGGGCAGAAAGAAGAAGGGGAAAGGGGGAGGAUGACAACGAACAGAAAAAAGAGGAGGGAUCAAGGAAAGAGGCACUUCGAUGAAAAGCGAAUGAGCUGCACCCGCUCUAUGUACAUCAGCACAUUCCUGAGGACAUCUCCGGAUGCAACGGGAUCCGCAUAACAGUACGACGGUCUAGCAUCCGCAUCCAUCAAAUGCCACGAUACAACUAAUUGGAUGGACAUUUUACCCAUUGUUUUAGUGGGCAUUCGAACGGCCAUCAAGGACCACUUGAAGUUGGUCUACAGGACAGAUAUGUUUACCUGUGGAUUUCUUCGUCUCCAGCAAUUGCGAGGCAAAUUCCGACUACGUUGCACGUCUGAG